UGCUCUGGCCCGGGUUGACGAGCCUCCGAUGCCCGUUUACUGCGCGCGGCAGCCACUCUGGAGCCGCGGCACAUCUGGAUGGAGUCAGCGCGAGCGCCAGGGGCCAGCGGCCGAGCCAGCGGAGCACGGCGGCGAGCGAGGGAGGGAGGCCGGCGCCCGAACCGCCCCCGCCGCCCGCCGGGCUGGAUUUCCUGAUGUAAACAGAGCGGCCCUGCAAGAACACAGCAACUCUGCUGAAUGUGUCGUUUAGUGUUCUUUAUCUGCUGGGGGUCAAAAUAUCGACUUAGAAAAACAGAAGCGUUGCUUUGAAUUUAAACAGCUAAAAGCCAUAGACUUUACUGGUCUGUGUGCGGGGAGGAGAAACGCCUGAAAACCUAGCUCCUGCUUUUGUGUUUACUUGUUCCAGUUUAUAGUAAUUUGGGGGCUAAUUUCAUUAUCUACAGCCAAAUUGGAAACAAGAUGCUGUUUCUGUUAAUGGUGCCAAAGGCAUGUGUGAGUUUGUGUGCUGUAGGUUGAAAGUUCCAACCGACCCCCAGAGCCCAGUGCCCCUGGCCCCCUUGGGCCUGCAAAGCGUUGAGACUCUGAUUUUCCCAGAGGGAUGUCGGCUACGCUGUUUCUCAGAGAAGCAUACUGCUUUUUGUCACUGAGUGCCAGCCAAGAUGUAUUUCCUUCCUGGAUUCCCAGAAAGACUCAGCGCUUGGGGGCUAAAAGGACAGGUUUCCUAUUCUUCACGGUGGGAUGUGCUUCCUUUCCCGUUUUUCAAGAAGCUGGGCCAAGAUUUAUGGAAAGAACCAAGGUCCAGUUCAGCAAAUUGAAUGGACCUGCAGGGAGAAGUAGCUCUGGAGUAUUCUCUCUUUCCAAGAAUACUAGGCUUUACAACCAUAGGAGGCACUGGCUUUUGGUUUUAUGGGAAGAGCAGACACCUCUUGAAUGACAAAGACAUUUCUCAUUUUUGACAGUCCAAUUCAAUUUUUGUUUGACAACUUAAUAUGCUUGAAAGCAAAGCUUUUCAGAGAGAGGGAGAGAGAGAACAUAUUUUCUAAGUCUAUCAAGGAUAGAUAGUUCAGAGCUAGCAUACUGUCCACAGCAUAAAGAACAUCAUGGUGUUGCUGUUCCAAGGAAAGAGAGAGAUUCAAUCAAGAGAAUGGAGAGAACGUGAGGAGGUCAGAACUGGGGUAUGGAAGAGCAUGGGUUCCUGAAUGACUGUUUGGGAGACUGCUACUCACAAGGAGAAUCUACAGUGGACUUUGUGUGAGUGAGAAACUAACUUUUGCUGUGUCAAGUUACUGAAAUUGUGGGGUUCGUGAUAGCAGCUGGAGCUGUUUGCCUUCUUCACUACUCUCCUCUUACUUGACCUCUCUGUGGCCUUGGGCAGUGCUGACCCCUCUCUCCUGUAUGACAUCCUCUUCCCUUGCUGUCCUUGAUCCUAUACUCUGUAGUUUUCCCACACAUGUAUCAAUAGUUCCCCAUGACUUCCAAGAAGUUCAAGUCCAGAAUUCUUGGCAUGCCUUUGCUAAAGUCUUUGUUUAACUCUUCAUUCUUCUCCCUCACCACCAUAGCUUCAAACUCCAUGCAUUUACAUAAACACAUCAUGCUCUCAUUUACUCUGAGGUUUUACAUUUGUUAUUCCCUCUGCUGAAAAGCUCUGCCCACUUUUUGCCCUGCUAAUUUUGCCACCACUUCAGAUCUGAUGUAUCACCAGUUCCAAGAACCCCAGACCCUAAGUUUUGGGGAAGAGCCUCCCAUGGGCUCUAAGGGAAGUUGUGUUUGCCUCAAUCAUAGGACUUGCUGUUGUAGCACUGCUCCAUCUCUUUACCAGCUGACUCCAAAGUCUGAUGUUCCAGCCUACUGUGCUCACUCCUGAAUCCCAAAUGCAUAGUCGAGUGCCUGUCACUUAGUCAUGCUAAUAACCAUUUGGUGAGUGCAUAAGUGAAUAAGUUUGUAGGACUGGGGAAACAAGAGUGCCUGAAAUCUAGGAAUUAGACUCCAGGUUUGAUAACAGGUAAUGCAUGAGGAAGUCAACCAGAAAAAUGAUGUUACUUAAUCUUCCUUGGAGAUUAUCUGUACUUGGUCCCUCUGAAAAUUACUAGACUGUUUAUGAGGAAGGGUAUAGAACAGCCUUCUUUCAAAUGGUGUUUCCUUCUAUUAUCAUUGGUGGUGAAAAUGGGAUUUAUUUCACAUAUUACAAUGCAGAAUUUGGUGUUGUUUAUAUGUGAACAUAACUACUCUGUAAAACCUCAAGCAUUUUUCUCUAUUAGAAUUGGCAGAUGAGAGAUUAUAUAAACUUGUGGCCAACUGAGAGGUUCCCAAAACAUUGCUCUUGAAUUAGAGGGAACAGAGGGCAUGCCCUGGGUGUCCGAAUCCCUUCUUCGGGCUGAUGCAGACUUAUGUUUGCAUCUGUGCUUUAUUACGGUGCUGCUCUGCUCUUUAACCACAAGGAGAACUCGGACACUGGAAGGUUAGGUGUGCUGCCUAAGGCCCCAUGGCAACUUGGAUUUGAGAUCAUAUCUGAAAGCAGAUGUAAGUAUCACUCCCUAGGAGCCCACAUGGACUCCUUGUGCUCCUGGACAUGGAAACGAAUCAUGAAGAGCCUCUGUCAAUGCAUCAUGAUAAAUCAGGUGAAGCUGAUGAUGUAUCCCGUGAGGUUGCCUGUGGAGGAGGAUUUCUGGGACACUGUUGGCAAGUGGUCACCGCUGGACUCCACAGAGGGGUGGACUAUCCCGGCACAUACUUUUGUUGCCACGCUAGUGGUGUGUGAGCCUGUCCCACAUGUGCUCUGCCAGCCCUGAUUUCUGAACCCAUGAGGAGUGUACAGGGGACCAAGGGAAGGGUCCAGGGGUCCUGCUUUUAUCUUUCCAUGGCUCAUGAUAAUGAGAGCAGCUAAGAUGACUGAGUGCUUCAUAUGUUUCCAGCUCUUCACCUCAUUUAAUUCUCCAAUGGCACCACUAUGGGACUGCUAUAGGUUACUCUCAGCUCUCAGGCAAGAAAACUGAGGCACAGAGGGCUCCUGGACUGGCCCCCAAAGCACAUGCCCUCCCACUCCUUUCAGGGCACUCUGUGCACUUAACCAGGGGUUGAUCCCCAAGGAGAGGCUGUGCCUAGGGCUCCUUCCCUCAGGGCUCCAGGAGUCCUGUCUACAGAAAUCUUCCUCUUUAAUUUUCCUUUCCUGGGCCCUGUCUCCCACUCUCUGACUAUUUAAGCUUACUUUAGAAGAACUAUUUCUUAUACCCUGAAAUGAGGGCAUGUAAAUUUGAAUAUGCAUGGAAGAAUGGUGAAAUGAAUAUAUUUAGAGUAAACAAAGCAUCCUCAUAAUCUCAAAACAUGUGUGCUUGUAUUUGUAGAUUGUCUUACACACCUAAAUUCUUUGCCAUGUAUUUUUGUGUUAAUUUGAAUGUGUUGCUCACAGGCAGCAAAGGCUGACUGAAGUGGGAUGUAAGCAGGAAAAGACUCCCCUCCAAAUGACAUCCAUCUCAUUAUGGUGAGUGCGUGACCCUCUCAUGACUCCAUCCUUCCACACACUGCUGUGCAGUACUCACCCCCACGCAUCCUGUUUAGAAUCAGCUUAGAUCCUGCAGAAUUUUCCUUCUAUUUUUCAGCAACAAAAUAUGAGGCAAAGGCCAAGAACUGCCGAUCUGUCUACAAUGUUUGAAAGAGCCCCGGAGCUGCUAUUUUGUAGAGCAGAGAGGAAGUGCUGCCUGGCCCUUUGGAGCUCCCUUCAGCCUCUGGGCUGUUAGUCAGCAGCCUCCUCCCACCCCACGAAGCCUCCCUCCUGGCCUGUGUCUGGCAUAGGUUCCCUGAGGCUCUUUCCAUCUGCGUUGUCCGUUCUGCAUUCUGUCUCCAUGUGAUAUGUGAUACAAAGCAUCCUUUUCUUCUCUGACUAUGACAUUCAAAGGAGAUGGUCUUCAUUGUUUCUCAGACCUGUCACCACUGGAUCAUGUCACUGACAGUAACACAAGAUGGAUGCUUUCCUUAGAGGAGACAAUGCAUUUCUAAAGUGGUGCUUGAUAAAGAAGGAAGUUGUUCUCAGAAUCUUACCAGAGCAUAUUUCAUUUUGAGUUUUUAGGCAGCAUGUCUCAAAUGUACCUCCAUGCCUUCAGGCAACUUGAAAGUUGAGGUUGGUCAAAUUUUGGAAUGAAUAAGACAGUAUCUUCAUGGAGUGUUAAAUCCAUAGCAGUGAAGUCAUUGUUUGAAUAAUCAUCUCUAAAUAAUCAAAUAUAUUAAUAUUUGGCUUUUGUCUGUUAUUAAUGAAAUUGUUCUUGAUUUCAAAGAAUUGGACAGGGUUGCCUUGAGUGACAUUUAGUGUUUGAAUGUUAAUGGGAUAUUAAUUACCCACAUGAAGUAAGGCAUUUGUUUCUGGAGAAAACAUGGCAUGCACUUCUUGACUGGGUCCCCUGUUUAUCUGUUCAGCGUCCUCCUGACACAUUCCCAUAUGUUCCCUUUCUCCAUAUCAAACCCAGGCCUUCCCUGAAAAGCCCAUGGUCUCUAUUAUCAGUGCUUUUUCCCAGACCUUGCUGAUCUUUCUGCCUGGAUAUUCUUCUUCACUGCUUGGCCACAUUCUACUUCUUGAAGGUUCAGCUUCAAACUUUUGGAGAUUCUUUUAUUCAUUCAUUUGCUUAUUCACUAAAUCAUUUAACAUUUACUGAAUAUUUACAAUGUGCUACACAUUUUUUUAGGUAUUGAGGAUACAAAAGACAUAAUCCUAAAUACCUUCAAGUGCCUUCAAGACAGACACAGGACUGGAGUUUGCAUACAACUAUGCUGUUGUGCAGUAGGGUUUAUGCAGGUAUUCCAGGAGUGCUGAAGAGAGAUGUCAAACCACCUGGGGAGGCAAGGAAGGGUCAUUUCCUCUGGUACAGGUCUGGCCAUCAUUAAUUCAGUUAGAGUGUCCUCUCCAUAUGCAUGCCCAGUGUGGCACUUAGCACACAUACUGUGUUGCUUUCUACCCCCAUUCACCAAAUCUACCCCCUCCUGCCAGCACAGUGUGGCAUAUAGCAGGCAUCCUGUGUCCACCUAUGUUUUGGUUCUUUUAACUGGCAUUUAGUUUGAUUUCUUUUCAGACUUUGGUUAAUAUUCUAACUACUUUAGAAAAAUAUUUGAGGUGGUUUUCAGUAAAAAUACACAGGACCAUUAAAAAUAAAAUUAGAAAGAGGGAUCAGCUAGAGGAAGGCAGGGGAGUGAUGCCACGGAGAGUUUGUUUACAGGUGUGUGGGUUGCUCUGAGCCGCCUGGCAGUCAGACUGCUCUGUCAUACCCUUGCCGUGGUCUCUGAAAUCGGGUAGCUUAUUUUAAUGUUAGUUGAUGCAUUAGUUAAAAAAAACAAAUUUAUCAACUGAAGCAGAAUAUGGGCUGAUAAAAUUUUCAAACACUAGGUCUUCUAUAGUUUGUAGAAAAUUGGGCAUCACAUGCUUUGAAUUCUAGAGUCCACUGUUCACGGCCUACAAGCCCUCACUAAGCCCUGAAAUCAAGGUAUUCUAUCUUCUGUGUGAAGAAUCCAAGAAAGCUGUUGGUUGGUGGUUUUUAAUUUCCAUCGAGUCUCUUCUCCUUCCAUUUCUGAGCCCUAUUCUCAGCUGCACUACUUCUUCCUAUGCAAAACACGGGAAGGUUCCUUGAUCUUUAGUAGUUGAGUGUGUAAAAUAGGGAAAUUGAUAUAUACCUUAAAUUGGUCUCAUUAGGUACAUUAGAUGAUGCUCAGCAAAUGACUGGAAGAAAAUGUGUUCUCACUAGCUCUUAGAAGCUCAGGUUGUGGUCCCGAUCUGCUCACUUCCUGUUGAUGGUCCUUCUGGAACAGAGUGACUAGAGGGGAGGGACCUUGCCCUGCAUGGGGGAGGAAGAUGAGUCAGCCAGCCCAUAUCUGGUAGGUGGCCCUUGUGUGGCACUGGGAUCUGAACUCCACCCCCGCUGCCACUGCUCACAGUGUGCCCUGUGAUUGGCUUCACUGUGUUCUUUUACAGACCUACCCUUAAGGUUCCUUCAGUGAAGACCAACUGGGAUUCUAUUUUAGCUGACAUAGAACCUCACAGUCUGUACCGUAGAUGAGUAAAAGGUAAAAGUCCCAUAUUUAAUGAUACCGUAAGUAUGUUAAAUUCCUCUGCAAAGUUUUGUAUCCAUCAGUUGUUUUGAAUGAGGUCCACUUAAUGUUGUUCCAUUUCAGUGAUGUCUUAAUUUUUAUGUUAUUUUACUAAUUGUGUAUCACUGUGGAAUCUUUAAUAGCAUUGAUUAAAUCCUGGCAUUAUUCCUAAGAGUAUUCCAUAAAAUACAUAUUUGUUUAACGUUUUCAUAGAUAAUACAUUCACAGAGUUUCAACUUCAAAAGGUACGAAAGGUUAAACAAUAAAAUAUCCUUCUUCCACUCUCCUCUGACACCCAUUUCUUUCCUUUGAUGCAGUCAGUUUCAUAUGUUUUUAAAUAUCUUUUCAGAAAUAAGUUAUGCAUCUGUAAAGCAAAUUCUCUUUUUACAGAAAUGGUAAAAGCACUAUGCACACUGUUCUACUCCUUGUUUCUUUCAUGUAACAAUAUGUUUUGGAGUGCAUUCUCUAUUUGUACAUAAAACCUUCUUCAAUCUUAUUCUACCCUGUGGUGUGCUGUA